CCUACGGGAGGCAGCAGUGGAGAAUAUUGCACAAUGGGGGAAACCCUGAUGCAGCGACGCCGCGUGAGUGAAGAAGUAUCUCGGUACGUAAAGCUCUAGCAGCAGGGAAGAAAAUUACGGUACCUGACUAAGAAGCCCCGGCUAACUACGUGCCAGCAGCCGCGGUAAUACGUAGGGGGCAAGCGUUAUCCGGAUUUACUGGGUGUAAAGGGAGCGUAGACGGCAGCACAAGUCUGGAGUGAAGUCCCGGGGCUUAACCCCGGAACUGCUUUGGAAACUGUGCGGCUGGAGUGCAGGAGGGGGAAGCGGAAUUCCUAGUGUAGCGGUGAAAUGCGUAGAUAUUAGGAGGAACACCGGUGGCGAAGGCGGCUUACUGGACUGUAACUGACGUUGAGGCUCGAAAGCGUGGGGAGCAAACAGGAUUAGAUACCCGGGUAGUC
rnacentral:rRNA from 1 species